rnacentral:rRNA from 1 species
CCUACGGGAGGCAGCAGUGAGGAAUAUUGGUCAAUGGCCGGAAGCCUGAACCAGCCAAGUCGCGUGCAGGAUGACGGUCCUACGCAUUGUAAACUUCUUUUAUCCAGGGAUAACACCCUCCUCGAGAGCCUGUCCGCAGGUACCUGUCGAAUAAGCAUCGGCUAAUUCCGUGCCAGCAGCCGCGGUAAUACGGAGGGCCCGAGCGUUAUCCGGAUUCAUUGGGGUUAAAGGGUGCGUAGGCGGGCUUUCAAGUCAGCGGUAAAAGCCCGCGGCUCAACCCCGCCGAGCAGUUGAAACUGGACGUCUUGAGUUGACAACAGGCAGGCGGAAUUCGCGGUGUAGCGGUGAAAUGCAUAGAUAUGGCGAGGAACCCCGAUUGCGAAGGCAGCAUGCCGGGGUGGGACUGACGCUGAGGCUCGAAGGUGCGGGUAUCAAACAGGAUUAGAUACCCGGGUAGUC